rnacentral:rRNA from 1 species
UAGGGAAUCUUCCGCAAUGGGCGAAAGCCUGACGGAGCAACGCCGCGUGAGUGAUGAAGGUCUUCGGAUCGUAAAACUCUGUUAUUAGGGAAGAACAAAUGUGUAAGUAACUAUGCACGUCUUGACGGUACCUAAUCAGAAAGCCACGGCUAACUACGUGCCAGCAGCCGCGGUAAUACGUAGGUGGCAAGCGUUAUCCGGAAUUAUUGGGCGUAAAGCGCGCGUAGGCGGUUUUUUAAGUCUGAUGUGAAAGCCCACGGCUCAACCGUGGAGGGUCAUUGGAAACUGGAAAACUUGAGUGCAGAAGAGGAAAGUGGAAUUCCAUGUGUAGCGGUGAAAUGCGCAGAGAUAUGGAGGAACACCAGUGGCGAAGGCGACUUUCUGGUCUGUAACUGACGCGGAUGUGCGAAAGCGUGGGAAUCAAACAGG